UUUCGCCUGGUUAACAAAAACAUGUCUCUUUGUUAUAUAUAAAUAAAGAGUUGGGCCUGCUCGGUGAAUAAUUUUUAACAGCUGCGGUAUUUUAACUGUACUAAGGUAGCAUAAUAAUUUGCCUUAUAAUUUGAGGCUAGAAUGAAUGGUUUGACGAAGGUUAAUCUGUCUCUAUCUUAUUUUUUAGAAUUUAAUUUUUAAAGUGAAAAAGCUUGAAUUUUUUAAAGGGACGAGAAGACCCUAAUGAGCUUAUAAUUUUAUUAUUAUUAUUUAAUAUAUUUAAAUAAUAAUAUAUAAAUUUUAAUUGGGGUGAUUAAGGAAUAAAAGAAUUAUAUAAUAACUUCCUUAGAUUAAAUAUAUAUAUAUAAAGUUACCAAUAAUAUAUUGGUUAUAAUAUAGCUUUCAUCGGGACAUCCGCGUAAUCUUCAAGAGAGUUCCUAAGAAAAACAAGCUUGCGACCAGGAUGAUGGAUUAAAGUAACCUUAAGGUGCCGAAGCUCUAGUAA
rnacentral:rRNA from 1 species